rnacentral:rRNA from 1 species
UACGUAGGGUGCAAGCGUUGUCCGGAAUUAUUGGGCGUAAAGAGCUCGUAGGCGGUUUGUCGCGUCGGCUGUGAAAACUCGGGGCUCAACCCCGAGCCUGCAGUCGAUACGGGCAAACUAGAGUGUGGUAGGGGAGACUGGAAUUCCUGGUGUAGCGGUGAAAUGCGCAGAUAUCAGGAGGAACACCGGCGGCGAAGGCGGCAUCCUGGACUGGUACUGACGCUCAGGAGCGAAAGCGUGGGGAGCGAUCCGG